UAAGGAAUAUUGGACAAUGGACCAAAAGUCUNAUCCAGCAAUUCUGUGUGCACGAUGGAGGUCUUCGGAUUGUAAAGUGCUUUCAGUUGGGAAGAAGAAAGUGACGGUACCAACAGAAGAAGCGACGGCUAAAUAUGUGCCAGCAGCCGCGGUAAUACAUAUGUCGCAAGCGUUAUCCGGAUUUAUUGGGCGUAAAGCGCGUCUAGGCGGUUUACUAAGUCUGAUGUGAAAAUGCGGGGCUCAACUCCGUAUUGCGUUGGAAACUGGUAGACUAGAGUACUGGAGAGGUGGGCGGAACUACAAGUGUAGAGGUGGAAUUCGUAGAUAUUUGUAGGAAUGCCGAUGGAGAAGUCAGCUCACUGGACAGAUACUGACGCUAAAGCGCGAAAGCGUGGGGAGCAAACAGGAUUAGAUACCCUGGUAGUCCACGCCGUAAACGAUGAUCACUAGGUGUUGGGGGUCAAAGCCCAGCGCCCAAGCUAACGCGAUAAGUGAUCCGCCUGGGGAGUACGCACGCAAGUGUG
rnacentral:rRNA from 1 species